GGGGAUGUUCAUUUUCGACGGUAAAGCACAUUAACAAGGUUGCAAGCCGGCCAAGCCUAUCUAAGCCGCAAAACUGGAAAGGCAAAUUCAUAAAUGCCAACAAGGCGUUUACACCUUCUUACGCUUACGCGUAAUGCUUAAGGUUGUCCUUUAAACUCUCUCUUGGUGGGGUUUAUCUGGGCAUCAUUCAGCCAAGAUGAUCUUUUCCGGGUCGGUGACCUUGAAAUUAUCCAUCCGCCGACUGGCGGACCAACAACCUCACUCUAUUCUGAUCUUGUCAGUUGGUAGGAAUAGAGGAAGUCAAGGACUGACUAAGCUUGUAGAAGCCUGUUGAUCUCUUUGCACGGACCUGGGUGCGAAGCCCAGCAUCUCCACCA
rnacentral:tmRNA from 1 species